GACGCGGUGAAUGUGUUCCUGAGCCUUGUACACACCGCCCGUCAAGUGAUGGGAGUUGGGAGUACCCGAAGUCGGUUUGCUAACCCUUAGGGGAAGCGGCUGCCGACGGUAAGCCCGAUGACUGGCACUAAGUCGUAACAAGGUAGCCGUAGGGGAACCUGCGGCUGGAUCACCUCCUUUCUAGGGA
rnacentral:rRNA from 1 species